rnacentral:rRNA from 1 species
UACGGAGGGUGCAAGCGUUGCUCGGAAUUAUUGGGCGUAAAGGGCAAGUAGGUGGUCUUAUUUGUCUGGGGUGAAAGCCUUGAGCUUAACUCAAGAAGUGCCUCAGAAACGGUGAGACUCGAGUUCUGGAGAGGGUCGUGGAAUUCCCGGUGUAGCGGUGAAAUGCGUAGAGAUCGGGAGGAACACCUGAGGCGAAGGCGGCGACCUGGACAGACACUGACACUCAACUGCGAAAGCGUGGGGAG